rnacentral:ncRNA from 1 species
UGCAAGGGGAGCGGCUUUUGGCCGCUGAGAAAAGGAAAGCUUGACCCUCAUUACCUGAUCCGGAUCAUGCCGGCGUAGGAAGGC